AUGCCAAGUACUGGCCCAGCCUCGCCAGGCCUGGUGGUUUGGGUGUUGUCCCCAGGCUCCCUUCCCACCCAGGGGCUGAAAGCUUAUAGCUGGCAGCAGUGGGGACAUGGUGGUGCCACUCCCAGGGUGGUCGGGGCAGGGCAAGGGAGGUCACCUUCUUCCGCGUCAGCCAGGGCUUUCUGCAGCUGCCCCACACGGCUCUGGGCCCGGGCACACCUGCACUCUGCCUCGCUCAGCCGGCUGCUCAGGGUUGCCAUCUGGACACGGGAGUCGUCCUGGGCAGAAGGACUGAGCACCCUGGGGAUGGGGCACAAGCCCUCCAUCCUGGCUCUGAGUCACCGAGCGUCCCCAAGGCCCUGCUGCCUGGACACUCUGACCCCCUACCAGGCGGCCUGUGUAUGCCUCUGUGCAGUCAGUGAGAAGGGCCCCCGUUCAGAAUGGGCACAGAAGGGGCCUGCCUCCCGCGCCUGGCACCAUGGCCUGUGUUCUGUUCACUGCACACUGAGCCAUACAUUCAACGCCAGUCAGGACUCAAUGUGGGUGUCCUUUCCUGCUGAGAGUUUCCUCGGGUGCAGGCCCAGCUGCCUCAGGUUCAGUUUCUCCUUUGGAAGGAUCUCUGUGGUGAGUUCCACGAGGCUGGUGCACAUGUCCCCAGCUGUGCUUUUCUAUGAGCAGCUCCAGUGCACAUACGGGCUCAGCCGCUUGCUGCUGCUGGCUCAUGGGUGGCCCCCAGCUGGGCCAGGCCUCCCCUCUCUGGCCCCUGCCAGCCCUGAAGCUAAGGGAGAACUGCUUUGGUUCACUUGGACCUUUCCUGCCCAUUGGGUGCCCCUCCCACCAGAAGCCCUGGAGGCACCGGGGGGAAACUGAAGCUCAGGAAGGGAGGGGAUGGAGAGGGACAUGCCACUGGGACCAGGCAGGAGGGGUGGCUCCCUGGGGUCAGCUAGCACCUGCUUGGCUGUGCACGUGGCCGGGCUGCAUGGGGCUCACCUGCGCUUGCUCCUGCUGGCUCUGUGCCUCCUGCUGUACCCGCUCCAGCACCCUCCUGGCCCUGGAGAGCUCCUCGCUCAGAAGGCUCCACUCUGCUUCUUUCAGGGACAGGGCCUGGACAGGACGGGGUAUGCUUGUGAGAAAGUUGGGGAGGCUGCGGGGAGGGAUGAGGCCCCCCUUGAAGGAGAGGCUGUGGCAGAAUGCUGAGUGCAGAGGCUCCCCUGGACACAGCAUGUUCAUGUUCCUGUCUGUACAUCCCUGCCACUGGAGAGGAGAGGUGGUUCCCACAGAGGCAGCCCUGGGCCGUGGGCCCUUUCACCCUUUGAGCACCUGCCCUCUGUCCGACAUCAUCUCACCUCUGUGUCUGCCCUUGGGCCCAUCCCUGGGGUAUCAUCAUCACCUUCCUCUGCCUCUCCAAAAUCCUGCCCUUUCCCAUGCAGUUUGGGGGCCUUCAUGAGCCACCCCCAUCCCUCUAGGCAACACCUGCUGCAGUGCAGAGAAGGAAGCUUAAAAGCCUGAAAAUGCUCCAUCUCCCUGAUGGUGUGGAAGGCGUGUGUCAGUGAGACACCCUCAGCCCAAGAGUGGCACGCUGCUCCAUGGGCCAGGCUGUGGAAGCAAUGCCUGUCAAAUUCACACAUGGAUAUUCUCUCUAUGCCCAGGCCCAUUUGGGGGAGGGCAGCCCAGAGACAUGCGUGCACCUGUGUGGAAUGACCUCUGUGCAGUGUCACUAACGUCUCUGACAUUGCUGUAAUGGCAACAAAGCUAGAGGCAACCCAGAUGUCCACGGAAGGAAGAACAGCCAGCCACAGGAAGACCCAGUCCUGGCAGCUCAGCAUGCAGCCCAGAAACAGAGAACAAAGUUGCAGAUACACAGUUGGGAAAGGUCACCGAGACGCUUUGAUGAUUGAGAAGAGAAAGGACAGGAGCCGGUGUGGACUUUGCGUUCCCUUUGUAUUAAAAGUGCAGUGUUGGCCGGGCGCGGUGGCUCAAGCCUGUAAUCCCAGCACUUUGGGAGGCCGAGAUGGGCGGAUCACGAGGUCAGGAGAUGGAGACCAUCCUGGCUAACCCGGUGAAACCCCAUCUCUACUAAAAAAUACAAAAAACUAGCCGGGCGAGGUGGCGGGCACCUGUAGUCCCAGCUACUCGGGAGGCUGAGGCAGGAGAAUGGCGUAAACUCGGGAGGCAGAGCUUGCAGUGAGCUGAGAUCUGGCCACUGCACUCCAGCCCAGGCGACAGAGCGAGACUCCAUCUCAAAAAAAAAAAAAAAAAAAGUGCAGUGUUGGGGAGGUAAUGCUGUAUAUUUCUGUUUGCAAGCAAUCUUUGGAGAGUGUUGCAUAACAAAAGAUUUAUCAGGUCUGUGUCCUGGGUCCUUGGAGGAAGCUUCUAAACACUGGGAGUUUCCCAAAAUGAGGAGUGCCUGCAUUAUUCCUGGCGGGCCCCUGGGACCACACCGGAGUUUAUGCUAAUGAGGUGACUCAGGGUGCACUCCUACUGAAUUUCAGGAUGGGGGCUGUCUGCCGAAAGACCACUAUUAGAGGGUUGAGGCUUUGAGCCACAGGAUGUCAACCCAGCCUCCCAGCAGUCAGAGAAGCGGGCUUCAGUCCCAUAACCAAUCACUCCACCGAUCAUGCUACGCGGUGAAACCCAGUAAACACUCUGGACGCCAAAGUGCAGUGGAGCCUCCUGGCUGCGAGCACACCGGGGUGCAGGAGGGUGCUGGGCUGGCUCCACAGGGAGGGCACAGCAGCCUCUGUCUGUGACGUGCCCACACCUUGCCCGCGUGUCUUCUGGCUGGUCUUGAAUUCCAUAUUUGAUAAUGAAACUCUAAGAGGAACAAGAGGCUUUCCUGAGUUCUGUGAGUCAUUCUAGUGAAUGGCUGAACCUGAGAGGACCAUGAGAACCCCCAAACUUGUAGUCAGGUGGUCAGAAGUGUGGGUGACCUGGAGACCCCUGGACUUGUGGAUGGUGUCUGAGAGAGGGCGUCCUGCUGGGGACCUUGCCCUGUGGGGUCUGUGCUAUCUCUGGGUCAGAAUUGCAUGGGCGUGUUACAGGGGAAUCAAAGAGAGGGGACAACUGUUCCCUGAGUGGCCU
rnacentral:lncRNA from 1 species